rnacentral:rRNA from 1 species
AUGCAGAUUGUGGCCGGCUGGUGGUGUGCGUCACCGUGCAGGGAUAGAAUCGCCGGGGAUGCAGUCUCGUCGCUGCCAUCAUGCUCGAGGAAACAUGGCAUUUACCAUUAUCUGCACCGCCCGCAGGCAGCUCCGGCGGAGGCCACACGCUUGACCCAGGCAAAGAUCUCCAUCGCUGUGGCCAACAAUGCGUCGGCGCGGUCGGCGCGGUCACCGCUUGCGUCCAAGCAGGAGCACACACUGGAGUCCAGACUCCAGAGCUCCCGCAGAGCACGCCUUCGCGAAAUACUGUGCGGCAGCUGUCUCUUCCUCCUCUCUGUGUUGCGUCCGUGCCUCUGGCCUGACGCGUCCUGCUGCUGCUUCGCGUAUCUGCAUCCUGUGUGGUGUAUAGCCUUGAUGUGUGCGGGCCAACCAACUCGCCGGCGACGUGCUCAACUCUACAUGGAGAUAACCACGUCUGCUUGGCGGUGGCUCUCCACGCUAGCGCCCGUUCCUUCUUCACCCGACGACGAUGGUAGCGCCGUGAUCGCAUAG